rnacentral:rRNA from 1 species
UACAGGGGGUGCAAACGUUGCUCGGAAUCAUUGGGCGUAAAGCGCACGUAGGCGGUCUGUUAUGUCGGAUGUGAAAGCCCUCGGCUCAACUGAGGAAGUGCAUCCGAAACUGGCAGGCUAGAGUACCAAAGAGGGUCGCGGAAUUCCCGGUGUAGAGGUGAAAUUCGUAGAUAUCGGGAGGAACACCGGUGGCGAAGGCGGCGACCUGGGUGGAUACUGACGCUGAGGUGCGAAAGCGUGGGGAGCGAACAGG